rnacentral:rRNA from 1 species
AUUGAACGCUGGCGGAAUGCUUUACACAUGCAAGUCGAGCGGCAGCGCGGGGCAACCUGGCGGCGAGCGGCGAACGGGUGAGUAACAUAUCGGAACGUACCCAGUCGUGGGGGAUAACUAUCCGAAAGGAUAGCUAAUACCGCAUACGACCUGAGGGUGAAAAGCGGGGGACCGAAAGGCCUCGCGCGAUUGGAGCGGCCGAUAUCGGAUUAGCUAGUUGGUGAGGUAAAGGCUCACCAAGGCGACGAUCCGUAGCUGGUCUGAGAGGACGACCAGCCACACUGGAACUGAGACACGGUCCAGACUCCUACGGGAGGCAGCAGUGGGGAAUUUUGGACAAUGGGGGCAACCCUGAUCCAGCCAUUCCGCGUGAGUGAAGAAGGCCUUCGGGUUGUAAAGCUCUUUCGGCAGGAACGAAACGGUGGUCCCUAAUACGGGCUACUAAUGACGGUACCUGAAGAAGAAGCACCGGCUAACUACGUG